GUGGUAUUUUUAAGGGGCUAACUUGUGGUGUCCCUGUUUCUUUGGCAGUGGGAGCGUCUGUUCACCCUGCAGGGAAGUCCAGGAACUCCUCGCCGAGGAGACGCCGCUGGGGGAGGUGGACUCCAGCCCUCCUCUUUCUCCUCUUCCCCCCUCUCCUCCUCUUCUCUUU